rnacentral:tRNA from 1 species
GGCAGGGUAGCUCAGUGGUAGAGCAGGGGACUCAUAAGCCCUUGGUCGUCAGUUCAAAUCUGACUCCUGCCACCA